AGAGUUUGAUCAUGGCUCAGAACGAACGCCGGCGGCAGGCCUCAAACAUGCAAGUCUAGGGGGUGCAGCAAUGCAUCACCGGCGGACGGGUGCGUAACGCGUGGGAAUAUACCUAUUGGUUCGGAACAACUGCGGGAAACUGCAGCUAAUACCGAAUGUGCCCGCAAGGGGAAAGAUUUAUCGCCAAUGGAUUAGCCCGCGUAGGAUUAGCUAGUUGGUGGGGUAACGGCCCACCAAGGCUCCGAUCCUUAGCUGUUCUGAGAGGAAGAUCAGCCACACUGGGACUGAGACACGGCCCAGACUCCUACGGGAGGCAGCAGUUGGGAAUCUUGGACAAUGGGGGAAACCCUGAUCCAGCCAUGCCGCGUGAGUGAUGAAGGCCUUCGGGUUGUAAAACUCUUUCGACGGGGACGAUAAUGACGGUACCCGUAGAAGAAGCUCCGGCUAACUUCGUGCCAGCAGCCGCGGUAAUACGAAGGGGGCUAGCGUUGUUCGGAAUUACUGGGCGUAAAGCGCGCGCAGGCGGCUAUCCAAGUCAGUGGUGAAAGCCCGGAGCUCAACUCCGGAACUGCCAUUGAAACUGUUUAGCUUGAGGAUGAGAGAGGUGAGUGGAAUUCCCAGUGUAGAGGUGAAAUUCGUAGAUAUUGGGAAGAACACCGGUGGCGAAGGCGGCUCACUGGCUCAUUACUGACGCUCAGGCGCGAUAGCGUGGGGAUCAAACAGGAUUAGAUACCCCCGUAGUCC
rnacentral:rRNA from 1 species